UACGAGGGGGGGCGAGCGUUUGUUCGGAAUUAUUGGGCGUAAAGGGUGCGUAGGCGGUUUGGUAAGUCUUAUGUGAAAUCUACAGGCUCAACUUGUAGUCUGCAUGAGAAACUGCCGGGCUUGAGUAUGGGAGAGGUGAGUGGAAUUCCUGGUGUAGCGGUGAAAUGCGUAGAUAUCAGGAGGAACACCUGUGGCGAAAGCGGCUCACUGGACCAUAACUGACGCUGAUGCACGAAAAGCUAGGGGAGCAAACAGG
rnacentral:rRNA from 1 species